AGAAGAUCGAAAUUCGCAACCUAGAAGAACAAACACAAGAAUUAGUUCUAUGGGGCCAGCAUGGAGAAUCAUUUGAUGAAGAAACAGUACUUAAAAAAUCUCAAGAAGGAAUUAUCAUAGCCAUUUUUGCUGGUGUAACUGCAACUCUACAAAGGUUUACAGGUAUGAUACAAGGAUCCUCAAGUUCUGCGACACAA